CUGCACUCCAGCCUGGACAGCAAGAGUGAAAUUCCGUCUCAAAACAAAAAGGGAAACUAAAGAGCAACCCAGAUUCAGCCACCAUAUGGUUGGAAGGUCACUAUUACAGAAUUGAAAGGACAACAAUAGUUUCUGACCACUGAAUAUUGACCACUGACCACUGACCACAUUGCAGGCCGACCACAUGAAGUCCCUACCACGCAUCUAACUCAUUUAAUCUUCACAGGGUCUCUGUGAGGUAGGAAUUAUUAUCUCUGUUUUACAGAUGAGGGGGUACCAUAUUCAGAAAGGCUAAGAAACGUGACUAGGGUCAUACAGCUGGUACUUGUUAGAGCCAAGAUUUUAAUCCAUCCCUAUCUGACUCCAAAGCCUAUGUUCUUGUCACCUUCCAACUACCUGGCCUCUCCACAUGUGCUAUGAAAUCCUCCUGGUGCCUGCAAAGAAAUUUACAGUGAAACCUCCAAAUUGAAGCUUAUAUUUUUAGUUUAUAUACCUCCCGCUCAAGAUAAAUAGUCAUCAAAAUCUCCAAAGUAAAAAAGAAAGCGUGAGAGAAAAAUGGCUAAAAUCCGGUACUCUGACCACAAGCCCAUCUGGGAUCUUUCAGAUGCCGAAAAUUCCUUAAGGCUGGAUAGUCAAGUUGCAGCUUAGAAGUUGCGAUUCAGAAAUCUUUAUUGAAAUAACAGUUUAUUCCCCCCCGAGGACUCUACUGAUAUAACAGAUGAGAGAUGAGAGUGCCUACUAGGGAAGAAAAUAGCAAGAAAGCGAGUGAUGUUACUCUAUCAGGGAAUCUAGAACAAACCCACAGAUGAUCCAUAGGGAUGGAGUGUGUGUAUGGGGAGGUGGGCCAGAUGAAACAAGAAAGGCAGAAAGUUAAUGGUUGUUGAAAUUGAAUGACAGACACUUGGAGUUCAUUGUGCCAGUCUAUCUACUUCUGUGUGUGUUUGAAAAUCUCACACAUGUACACAAAGCCAUGACCCUCCAACUAGAUGACAUCCUUAGAUGUUAAUGGCCUGGGUUCCAUGCCUUCUUAGACACAGCACCCUUACAGGGAGAGGUCAAGGCUGAAAUCUGGUGGUUCCUCCACCCUAUCCUGGUGUGUUCCCUGCUGGUCUCUCAGCAAGGGUCUCAGUAUGCUCCCACAGUCAAAACCUGGCCGCAAAUUCUGCUUUUAUAGAAGACCUUCUAUAAAUGGUUGAAACUACUGUUUUUCAGAAUCAGGAAGGAGCAUUCAAAAGACUGCUAAACCCUCAAACUAGAACAAGAUAAAGAACAGGCUGAAUCAGCAUGCGACAGGAGCCUGGUCAGUGAGCUGACUCUGAGGUUACUUGUGAGGAUGAUGUCACUGUGUGGAAUAAGGAAGCUGGCAACACCCCAGAGCCAGUGUGCGGCUGUGCUGGGAGGGAGGUAGCCCCUUGGUGCCGAGGAAAGGACAAACCCCAAGCAGAUAUUUGUCAGAUUGUGGCCAGGCACAGUCUUGUUCCUUUAACACUUUAAAGGACAAAUGGAAAGAUGAGCCAAGCCCUAAUCAUCUGAAGAAGCCAUGCCUCUGAGAAGUCUGAGGGAAGAUAUAUUGAAAACGACCUCAGUUAUGGUGAGACAGCUUUGUUUGAUUGACCCAAAGGCAGAGACACAGGUGUACUGCAUCCUUCAGGAAGCAAGUUUAGAAACAAGAUCUGCAAGUCACAGGAUGUGACAGGUCUGCAAAUCCUGCAAGUCACAGGUCAUCCACAGUGGGCUAGUCUAGCUGCUUCCAGAAUGUUGCCCAUGAAAGUGAACCGUCUCUCUCCAGUAGAAUGUAAGCUCCAUGAGGGCAGAAUCUGGACUGUCUGGCUCACCGCCGCAUCCAUGGAACCCAGGAUAAGGAAUACCUGUUGAUGAAUAAAUAACCCUCCGGAUAGGUCAGUAGCCACUUUCAUAUAUAUAUGAAGGCAUUUUAUUGAUGAGGCACUUUUUCUUAAUAUAUGAAUAAGCAAAAAAUAUAGUACCUAUAUUCAGUAAAAAAUUCUUUUGAAAAAACUAAAAUGUUAUAAGAUUGGGGCUGUCCUGAAGAAUCUAAGACAUAUAGGUAUCAUAGAUAUGAAAUUCACCUUUUCCGUUGUUUGAGAAAUGUUCCUGAUGACUCGUGUGUCUUCGGCACUAGUCUAUCUGACAAAUGGUCACUGGUAAGAGAAAGAGCACUCGCUAGGGAGGGACGGGAUUCCUGAAUGGGGAUCUGGAUACACAGGUGGGUUUGUGUGUUCAUGCAUGUGCACAAGCACCUGCAGCUCAGAAUCUAUAACCGACAGCUCUUAGAGUCAGUGUGGCCUUAGUAUACUUUGUUUCGUAUCCUUUAGGGGUGUGUGUCUCCAACUGUAAUGUACAAGUCAAUCACCUGGGGAUCUUCUUAAAAUGCAGAUUCCAAUUCCAGGGUGCGGUCUGAGAUUUUAUAUUUCUAAUUAGCACUUACUCAGGUGACAUCUGUGCUGCUGGCCAGAGGCUCACACUUUGGCACAUCUCUAGUACUGCAAAAUUGCCAUCUGAGAAACAUGCCUCCAGAUUAGCUAAGAAAGGAAGCGCUAACCAUAGGGCACUUGGUUCCCAAGACCCAAAAAUAUAAAGAACCUAAUUUUAAACAAGCAGAAAGGAACUUCUAUGGAAAGAGACGACUCCGCUUUCUUCAUUUGUAAUAAAACAAAUUUGUAAACA